rnacentral:rRNA from 1 species
GAUCAUGGCUCAGGAUGAACGCUGGCGGCGUGCCUAAUACAUGCAAGUCGAACGAGGGUGCUGCACCCUAGUGGCGAACGGGUUAAUAACACGUAGGUAACCUGCCCUUAAGCUUGGGAUACCCAGAGGAAACUUUGGCUAAUACCGGAUAACAACAGAUGAGGCAUCUCAACUGUUUGAAAGGCCCUUUACGGGGUCACUUAAGGAUGGACCUGCGGCGCAUUAGCUAGUUGGUGAGAUAACAGCCCACCAAGGCGAGGAUGCGUAGCCGAACUGAGAGGUUGAUCGGCAACAUUGGAACUGAGACACGGUCCAAACUCCUACGGGAGGCAGCAGUAAGGAGUUUUCGGCAAUGGGGGAAACCCUGACCGAGCAACGCCGCGUGAGUGAAUGACGGCCCUAUGGGUUGUAAAGCUCUUUUAUUAGAGACGAAUGGUGGGUUUAGGAAAUGAAACCCACUUGACUGUAUCUUUUGAAUAAGCCACGGCUAACUACGUGCCAGCAGCUGC